rnacentral:rRNA from 1 species
CAGUCGAACGGCAGCGCGGGGAGCUUGCUCCCUGGCGGCGAGUGGCGGACGGGUGAGUAACGCGUAGGAAUCUGCCCAGUAGUGGGGGACAACCCGGGGAAACUCGGGCUAAUACCGCAUACGCCCUAUGGGGGAAAACGGGGGACCUUCGGGCCUCGUGCUAUUGGAUGAGCCUGCGUCGGAUUAGCUUGUUGGUGAGGUAACGGCUCACCAAGGCGACGAUCCGUAGCUGGUCUGAGAGGACGACCAGCCACACUGGGACUGAGACACGGCCCAGACUCCUACGGGAGGCAGCAGUGGGGAAUAUUGGACAAUGGGGGAAACCCUGAUCCAGCGAUGCCGCGUGUGUGAAGACGGCUUUCGGGUUGUAAAGCACUUUCAGUGGGGAAGAAAAGCGGACCGCUAACAUCGGUUCGAUAUGACGUUACCCACAGAAGAAGCACCGGCUAACUCCGUGCCAGCAGCCGCGGUAAUACGGAGGGUGCGAGCGUUAAUCGGAAUUACUGGGCGUAAAGGGCGCGUAG